GGGGGUGCAAAGGGAGAGAGAUGUAAGAGAUGGCGAUCCAGAGAGACCUGGGGGAGUAACGGACAUGGGGGUGGAUUAUUAUAGGCCACGGUUAUCAGGAAAGCUUAUUUUCAGGAGGUGCGGCACAGCUUAAGUGAGACAGAGGCGAGGAGAGAGUGCUGUAGGUUUUUGGGACAAAGAAAGAUGCAGCAACAUUAAGGACAAGGGGAGGGUCCCGCGAGGCUUCAGGGACAUGCUCAGUCACUGCGCGCUUGGAGGAAGGGAGGACAUGAAGUGAAAUGGAAAUGAACAUGUGAAUAGAAAAUAAAGAGGCAUCAGAGGACCAAUGAGGAAAACAACCUGGAGAGAUCUGUGUCCCCCCCAGCCUGCAGUCAGGGGGGGGGGGGGGGGGGGGGGUGGAUGAUGAGGCAAAAGUCUUUGCAGGAGGGAGGAAGGCAGGAGAUUGAGUUGAGAGGGCAGUCGAGGGAGGCAGUGGGAGCCUUCAGAGGGACUCAGUUUCCUCACUGUCACUUCUACCUCUCUCUCCAUCUCUCUCGCUCUCUCUCUCUCUCGCACACAUCCACUUCUCAGUUUGCAGUUGACACAAUGUAGAACAUUCUCUUUUAAAAAGAUUACCGACACUGCUUCUUGCCGAAGUUGGAGACCUCAGGCCGUCCCACAAACGACUCAGCGUCAGUAGAAAAAAAAGCGGAGCGCCCCCCCCCCUCCCCAUACCUCCCUCAUCAGUCUCCGCUCCCCAGCGAGACGUAACUGCAAGAGGACCAGUAAAGGUGGAAGAAAGGGACGAUGCUUUUACGUGUGUUUUACUCACCGGGAUGGAGAAGAAGAGAGAGCUGCUUUAUCCGCUGGACUCACCAGAUCCGCAGAGAAGAUGGUGAUACACCUCAGUGCCAUUCCAUUCCCAGCUGUCGACCGGACACAUUGUCCUUCUUACAGUAUGUAGUGAAGCUAAUGGCCUGAGCUGGACAGAACCACCCCAUGCCCAGACUGAUUUAAAGAUGGUACAAGAUGUCAGCAGUAGCAGAGCAGAACAGCUGGAGCGGAAGUAUUUAAUGGACACUGGAAAAAGCACUCAGAGUGAUAACAUCCAGAGGCAAUUAGUCACUGACAAGGGCGUAACUUUGGCUGGAACAUAGGGGGGGUUGAAGUCUCCAGCCAUUACACGGGAAACAUGAUUAUUGGGGGGGUUGUAUCAGCUGGUUUUGAUUUAUUGGGGGGGCUACGACCCCCCCGUAAUUUACGCCCAUGGUCAAUGUACUUGUGGCAAUUUUUUUAUGAUACGGCUUUCUUUUGCAAUCUACACACAUUUUUGACUUGAAACUUAAUCGGCUGCAUUGUGUCAUUUCAGGUACAUUGCUAAUAGUUACACUGCCCCCAGUUCCCAGAGAUUCCUUCCCCAAGAAAAUCUAUGUAAGUAGGCUACAGAUUUGGCAUUUUAGCAGCAACUAGCCCUACUUUGUUUGAGAAGCAAGUACCAAAAUUAAUGCGCACUAUCAUUCACAUUACAAAUCUAUCACAUUAUUUCAAAAGUUUUGUUUUAUCUUGAGGAAGCCACUUCACUGAUUGAGCCUGUAACACUGGAUUCAUUGCCUGGGGGGGUGUAAUGGUUUCACUGCGCGAUUUCGGUAUGGCUGGGAGAGCAAUUAGUUUUGAAAAUAUUAAUUAUUAAAACUGAAAACACCAAUACAAUUAGGAACAGGUGUAAACCAAAGGAAAUUUGUCUGUCAAUGAAUAAUUAAUCCUAAAAAAUGCUUAUUUGCACAAAUAUAAAUAAGCAAAAUAAAAAUGGGACUGAAUCAUAAUGAUCAUAAUGAACUAAAUCCUGUCUAAAUUACAUGUCCCCUACGACCAAUAACUGUAGCAAUAAACACUCCUCUAGUCAUAGUUAUUGUUUUUUAGUCUGGUUUGAAUUUCCUGGCAAAAGAGCCUUAAACGCCACAGGUAGCUAAUCUUACAGGUGCUGUUUCUGCCGUACGCCGGUCAUACACACACUAUGAUGAUGAUGUCUCAGACUGGUUAGCACAUCAGAGGUGUUUCCAGCAACAUGUCCCAGUUCAGCAUAACAGAGAUAACAGACAGUCUUGGACAGUGUUGCUGGAAUUUAUUGGGAUACUGAAAUAUUUCCCUAAACUACCAAUUAUGAGCAACAGUGGG